UAACACGUGGGUGACCUGCCUCGGAGUGGGGGAUAACCAUGGGAAACUGUGGCUAAUACCGCAUGGGUCGAUGGCGCUGGGAAGGACCAUCGAUAAAGCUUUAGUGCUUCGAGAGGGGCCUGCGUCCGAUUAGGUCGUUGGUGAGGUAAUGGCUCACCAAGCCGAUGAUCGGUAGCUGGUCUGAGAGGACGAUCAGCCACACGGGAACUGAGAGACGGUCCCG
rnacentral:rRNA from 1 species